UUACCCGCUGAAUUUAAGCAUAUAACUAGGCCGAGGAAAAGAAACUAACCAGGAUUCCCCCAGUAACGGCGAGUGAAGCGGGAGAAGCCCAUGCUGCCAACCGCUCCGGCGGGUUGUGCCAGGCGUGCCUGGUGAGGUCCCGGGGAGAAAUUCUUUGGAACAAGGUAUCAGAGAGGGUGACAAUCCCGUCUGUGCCUCGGGGUCCUCGCGUGAAGGCCGUCCUAGUGGAGUCGAGUUGCUUGGGAUUGCAGCUCAAAGUCGGUGGUAAAUUCCAUCGAAGGCUAAAUACGGGUGGGAGACCGAUAGCGAACAAGUACUGUGAAGGAAAGAUGAAAAGAACUUUGAAAAGAGAGUUAAAGAGUGCCUGAAAUUGCUGAGAGGGAACCGAAGGUGAUCAGUGGGGGCCGCUGCCAUUUUUCGUGUUCCGACCUCGGAGCACGCCCUGUGGCAGGGGCCCGCUCCGCGCCGUCGCGUCCGGCCGUAAGCUUGGGGCCGGGGGCGCCGGGGCGGAGGAAAUGGUCCUCUUUACCCCGUCUUGAAACACGG
rnacentral:rRNA from 1 species